CGAGGACGACGCUGGCGGCGUGCCUAACACAUGCAAGUCGAGCGGAGUUAUCCGAGCGGAAGUUUUCGGAUGGAAGCAUGGAUAACUUAGUGGCGGACGGGUGAGUAACGCGUGGGUAACCUGCCGUAUACAGGGGGAUAACACUUAGAAAUAGGUGCUAAUACCGCAUAAGCGCACAGCUUCGCAUGAAGCAGUGUGAAAAGCCUUAACGGUAUACGAUGGACCCGCGUCUGAUUAGCUAGUUGGUGGGGUAGAGGCCUACCAAGGCGACGAUCAGUAGCCGGCCUGAGAGGGUGACCGGCCACAUUGGGACUGAGACACGGCCCAAACUCCUACGGGAGGCAGCAGUGGGGAAUAUUGCACAAUGGGGGAAACCCUGAUGCAGCGACGCCGCGUGAGUGAAGAAGUAUUUCGGUAUGUAAAGCUCUAUCAGCAGGGAAGAAAAUGACGGUACCUGACUAAGAAGCCCCGGCUAACUACGUG
rnacentral:rRNA from 1 species